GAUGAACGCUGGCGGCGUGCCUAAUACAUGCAAGUCGAGCGAACAGACGAGGAGCUUGCUCCUCUGACGUUAGCGGCGGACGGGUGAGUAACACGUGGAUAACCUACCUAUAAGACUGGGAUAACUUCGGGAAACCGGAGCUAAUACCGGAUAAUAUAUUGAACCGCAUGGUUCAAUAGUGAAAGACGGUUUUGCUGUCACUUAUAGCUGGAUCCGCGCCGCAUUAGCUAGUUGGUAAGGUAACGGCUUACCAAGGCGACGAUGCGUAGCCGACCUGAGAGGGUGAUCGGCCACACUGGAACUGAGACACGGUCCAGACUCCUACGGGAGGCAGCAGUAGGGAAUCUGCCGCAAUGGGCGAAAGCCUGACGGAGCAACGCCGCGUGAGUGAUGAAGGUCUUCGGAUCGUAAAACUCUGUUAUUAGGGAAGAACAAAUGUGUAAGUAACUAUGCACGUCUUGACGGUACCUAAUCAGAAAGCCACGGCUAACUACGUG
rnacentral:rRNA from 1 species